AACCUUAUAGUGGAAAUAUAAAGACGUCAGACUGCAAAUCUGAAAAUGUGAAAAUCACUAAGGUUU
rnacentral:tRNA from 1 species